GCCUCGUCUGCCGCGUGCUGUUCGCGGAGGGAUGCAGCGUGCCGUCUGGUCUGGGUAUCUCCUGCUGGCCUCUCAGGGUGCAGAAACUCCUGGAGGAGGAAAACCUCAGGCCGAUGUGUGUGUGAUGAAGACAGUUAUGCUACUCAUAGAAGAAGUGAAGCUCACAGCCUCCCAGGACCUGAGACCUGCGGUGAAUGACCCGCCCAGAAACUCAGGGGUCUGCAUCUCCACGCACAGCAGGUUCACCCAGCAGGUCCCUCGCGGGGGCAGGGGCGCCUCAGCAAACCCACCCCAUCCUCCACACGCUUCCCAGCUUCGGCAGGCAUCGGGCUCACUCUCUGGCUGGCCAGUCCCAGGAUCUGAGUCGGGGCUGGGCCCUGCGAAGUGACCCGUCCAAG
rnacentral:lncRNA from 1 species